rnacentral:rRNA from 1 species
GACGAACGCUGGCGGCGUGCCUAAUACAUGCAAGUCGAACGCAGUGGGGACGAGUUAGUAACACGUGGGUAACCUCCCAUCAGAGGGGAUAACGCUUGGAAAAAGGUGCUAAACCGAUACUGAUGGAUGGACCCGUGGGGCAUUAGAUAGUUGGGGGGGUAAAGGCUCACCAAGGCAACGAUGCAGAGCGGAUCUUAUAGGGUGAUCGGCCACACGGGGACUGAGACACUGCCCAGCGUCCUACGGGAGGCAGCAGUAGGGAAUUGUCGGCAAUGGACGAAAGUCUGAUCGAGCAACCCCGCGUGAGUGAUGAAGGCUUUCGGGUCGUAAAACUCUGUUGGUAGAGAAGCGGUAUCUACCCAGAAAGCCACGGCUAACUACGUGCCAGCAGCCGCGGUAAUAC